rnacentral:rRNA from 1 species
UGGGGAAUAUUGCACAAUGGGCGCAAGCCUGAUGCAGCCAUGCCGCGUGUGUGAAGAAGGCCUUCGGGUUGUAAAGCACUUUCAGCGAGGAGGAAGGUGGUGAGCUUAAUACGCUCAUCAAUUGACGUUACUCGCAGAAGAAGCACCGGCUAACUCCGUGCCAGCAGCCGCGGUAAUACGGAGGGUGCAAGCGUUAAUCGGAAUUACUGGGCGUAAAGCGCACGCAGGCGGUUUGUUAAGUCAGAUGUGAAAAUCCCCGGGCUCAACCUGGGAACUGCAUUUGAAAACUGGCAAGCUAGAGUCUCGUAGAGGGGGGUAGAAUUCCAGGUGUAGCGGUGAAAUGCGUAGAGAUCUGGAGGAAUACCGGUGGCGAAGGCGGCCCCCUGGACGAAGACUGACGCUCAGGUGCGAAAAGCGUGGGGAGCAAAACAGGAUUAGAUACCCUGGUAGUCCACGCUGUAAAACGAUGUCGAUUUUGGAGGUUGUGCCCUUGAGGCGUGGCUUCCGGAGCUAACGCGUUAAAUCGACCGCCUGGGGAGUACGGCCGCAAGGUU